rnacentral:rRNA from 1 species
UACGAAGGGUGCAAGCGUUAAUCGGAAUUACUGGGCGUAAAGCGCGCGUAGGUGGUUUCUUAAGUCAGAGGUGAAAGGCUACGGCUCAACCGUAGUAAGCCUUUGAAACUGGGAAACUUGAGUGCAGGAGAGGAGAGUGGAAUUCCUAGUGUAGCGGUGAAAUGCGCAGAUAUCAGGAGGAACACCGAUGGCGAAGGCAGGUCUCUGGGCCACUACUGACGCUGAGAAGCGAAAGCAUGGGGAGCGAACAGGAUUAGAUACCCCGGUA